UACGAAGGGGGCUAGCGUUGUUCGGAAUUACUGGGCGUAAAGCGCGCGCAGGCGGUCUUCCAAGUCAGUGGUGAAAGCCCGGAGCUCAACUCCGGAAUUGCCAUUGAAACUGUGAGACUGGAGUACGAGAGAGGUGAGUGGAAUUCCCAGUGUAGAGGUGAAGUUCGUAGAUAUUGGGAAGAACACCGGUGGCGAAGGCGGCUCACUGGCUCGUAACUGACGCUCAGGCGCGACAGCGUGGGGAUCAAACAGG
rnacentral:rRNA from 1 species